AGACGGAAAGAAUAAUAAUUUAACUAAGAUUAUUAUUUUGACAAUAACUACAGCUAAUUUAUACGUGAAAUUACCCAGAUUUUUUACUUUUUUGUUAAUGGUUAAAUGCUGUUUGGGGUGAAUAGGUUCUCAUGGCUUCUUAUUGGUACAAAAACGCACAUUGAAAUCCGGACUUGCUGUAAGGAAGUUUAUUCAGAAACCUCUUAACGGGUUGUGGUGUAUUGAGCCAGUGUGGGGGAGGAGGAAACAGCUCAAGAGUUUUACAGAAUUGUGAGUAUUUUUAAUUUAUUUUGUUUUCUUAAAUUGGGACGAUAUACUAGCUGUGGUAUAGUCUCCUGUGUAAAUUGACGCCAUAUUGGUACAAAUGGUGACUAGCCUGGGAUUUGAGACGGCCAAAGGAGUCUGUGGUGUUACUACUAAAAGCCUCAUCAUCGCUUCCACAUAAUAAUAUUCUAGUAACUCUUAAUUUAUUCAUCCAUCUUAUAUAAACCAGUAAAUAAGAUAAAUACUUAAAUUAUAUAUCAUAUUUGUAUAUUAUGAAUUAUAUAUUAGUGAAACAAGAACGGAAGUGGCAGCUACAGCAUUAACAGGUAAGGUCGAUUUAUUAAUGCAUUUACUUUACCUUCAGUGUUUACUUUUGCAUAUCUUCAGUUGUAAAUGUUGUUAAUUAGUUUAGUUCAUGUUCACAUUACCUGAUUAAGUUAAUAUAAAUGUAGGUGUUUUAUGAUCAAUGUUAUCCUUGUAGUGUUAUUGGUCAUCACAAACAAGCCAUUACGUAACCCAACACCUUGUCUUUAAGCUCCGCCCUCCUAUGACGUCAUAUUCAAGGCCUCACAAAACACCAAGGAUUCGAAUCACUUCAUGAACGAAGCCCUGAAGAUGGAGUCAUGGAACUGUGAAUCCAGUUUGUCGGAGUCUUUAUCAAGGUAAACCAACACGAAUAUAUUUGUCUUGGUAAACACAACUCAGUGUUAUUGUUGGUGAUCCACAAGUUGUAGUAUUUCUUCCCUGACGUAAAUUAUCGCCUGCUACGAGUGAUGCUUCAGUUUAUUGUGAGUGAGACGCCUCGAAGCUUCAGUAAACUUGAGAAUGAGAGCGGUGAGGCAGGUGUGGUCACGCCGGCUCAUUAUUCACUAGACCUCCUGCCAGGCUGGACCACCUCGCUCCUGGGGCCUACUGACUGUCUGUUGCAGCUAAUACAGUGGUAUGUUGGUUUAGUGGCAAGAUACCCACUAUGGAUGGCAGAGGUCUCGGAUUCGACUCUCGGACUGAUCAAGACAUGUUGAACAGCACGAUGCACAGAGGCAGUAUUCUCAAAGGAGAGAUCAUGGUGCUCAAGGACACCUGCCUACACCUUCAACAGAUACGUCAACACGGAAUUAUUUAGACUCUUAUCCCCAAGGUAGAAAGGAAUGGACUCUGAAAGGCUGCAGCUAAUUUUAUUAUUGAAGAUAGGUGUGUGGCAGUGCAAGACCAUGGAAUAAUGUUUGACCUUGGUUGGUGAAACACUUCAUGCUCAGGUUGUUGCCAUUGACAUUUAUGAACUACAGUAAAGAAGUUAGCCAGCUAAGGGGACGACUGUGGCAGAGAUGACAGGUUUUGGAUGUCUGCAGCCCUCAAAGCCAUGAAGAGGAAUUUGUAAUAUUAGAGCAAUUUAUAAAUAAGCUGUAACUUCAAUGUCCUAUAAAUUUGACAAUUAUCUUGUGCUAUGAAGGUAUACAAAUGCAUUAAAGUUGUCAGUGACCAUUUAUAGUAUUCAUAAAGUAAUGAAAUGUUUUAUGUACAGUAGAUCAUAAUAACUAGGUCAAAUUUAGUAAUGUAAUGGUUAGAUGAUAAUCAAACAGGAAGUGAUGGGCCAAUGGGUAAAUGUUCUUGUAGUUAGUAAUGUACUGUAGCAGUUCUAUGUGCAAAAUAAAACUUUUUCAACACUAUUGAUAGAUUUUCCUCAACACUCAUCAUUUUCCCAUCAGUGUC